CCAGGUUUCACUAAAUGGUACACAGUUUACAGACAGUUCUGUUGGAUCAGAGUUCACAGGUGUUUCUCAGACACCAUUUACCUUUGGCUUGGGCCAAAGGGCACCGUAUACAACUGGCGAGCACUGUCUUCUUUGUAGAAGUGAACGCAAAGAUAGUUCGCUUUCAGAGAGCGGAAUAAAAAAUUCUAGCAAAACAGCACUUUCCACAUCUCCAAAAGCAAACAAUAUGCUGCAUCUUCCACUGUGGGUGUGUCCGGACUGUAGACGAACAGUCGAAAAGGAGGAGAGGCAUGCUACAAUAGAGCAAUCUCUUGUGAGCCAAGACUUCCUUUUGCACAUGCCUCUUGGAAACAGUGGAUCACAGCAGGAAUCUGUAGGAGGAGGAAGGAUAACUGUUGGUGCGCAGACAGUGCCUGCUGCCGAUCUUAACAAUUCCUCUCCUUCAGACAUAGCAUGCAACUGUGAGGCCUGUAAUGAGCGCAGG
rnacentral:lncRNA from 1 species